rnacentral:lncRNA from 1 species
UUCAUAACCUUUGGAAUCUGUUGGCCGACAGUCCUUCUUUUCAUAGAAUAAAGAGGUUGAAAAAAGGGAGAUCGAGGCCAGAUUGUAAUAGUCGUAAGCCGAGGUAAGCUUGGUGCUACUUCUUUGUUUUUUUUGCUUUUAUUAUUUUCUUAUGAAGAAUUGUGAUUGAGAGAAGUAUUGUUGAAACUGUAAUUAGAAUAUUGUGGAAUAUGACUUUGGACUGACCAUUUUGGAAAAAAUCUGUAACCGUGAGAAUUGAGAUUAUCGAAUUGUGUUGUGUUAAGUGAAGAUAUUGAAUUCUGUUUGAUGAAUUGAAAAAUUGAAUAUAAUAAGUAAGUUAGAGAUCAGUAAUUGAAUAUAUAUAAA